AACGAACGCUGGCGGCAGGCUUAACACAUGCACGUCGAGCGCCCCGCAAGGGGAGCGGCAGACGGGUGAGUAACGCGUGGGAAUCUACCCAUCUCUACGGAAUAACGCAUGGAAACGUGUGCUAAUACCGUAUACGUCCUUCGGGAGAAAGAUUUAUCGGAGAUGGAUGAGCCCGCGUUGGAUUAGCUAGUUGGUGGGGUAAAGGCCUACCAAGGCGACGAUCCAUAGCUGGUCUGAGAGGAUGAUCAGCCACACCGGGACUGAGACACGGCCCAGACUCCUACGGGAGGCAGCAGGGGGGAAUAUUGGACAAUGGGCGCAAGCCUGAUCCAGCCAUGCCGCGUGAGUGAUGAAGGCCCUAGGGUUGUAAAGCUCUUUCACCGGUGAAGAUAAUGACGGUAACCGGAGAAGAAGCCCCGGCUAACUUCGUGCCAGCCGCCGCCGUAAGAC
rnacentral:rRNA from 1 species